rnacentral:rRNA from 1 species
UACGGGGGGGGCAAGCGUUGUUCGGAAUUACUGGGCGUAAAGGGUUCGUAGGUGGCCAACUAAGUCAGACGUGAAAUCCCUCAGCUUAACUGGGGAACUGCGUCUGAGACUGGAUGGCUUGAGUGCAGGAGAGGAACGCGGAAUUCCAGGUGUAGCGGUGAAAUGCGUAGAUAUCUGGAGGAACACCGGUGGCGAAGGCGGCGUUCUGGACUGCAACUGACGCUCAUGCACGAAAGCGUGGGGAGCAAACAGG